GCUGGCGGCGUGCCUAAUACAUGCAAGUCGAGCGGAGUUCAUCGGGAGCUUGCUCCUGAUGAACUUAGCGGCGGACGGGUGAGUAACACGUAGGCAACCUGCCCGUAAGACUGGGAUAACUACCGGAAACGGUAGCUAAUACCGGAUACGCAAGUCUCUCGCAUGAGGGGCUUGGGAAAGGCGGAGCAAUCUGUCACUUACGGAUGGGCCUGCGGCGCAUUAGCUAGUUGGUGGGGUAACGGCUCACCAAGGCGACGAUGCGUAGCCGACCUGAGAGGGUGAACGGCCACACUGGGACUGAGACACGGCCCAGACUCCUACGGGAGGCAGCAGUAGGGAAUCUUCCGCAAUGGACGAAAGUCUGACGGAGCAACGCCGCGUGAGUGAUGAAGGUUUUCGGAUCGUAAAGCUCUGUUGCCAGGGAAGAACGUCCGUUAGAGUAACUGCUAACGGAGUGACGGUACCUGAGAAGAAAGCCCCGGCUAAUCUACGUGCCAGCAGCCGCGGUAAUACGUAGGGGGCGAGCGUUGUCCGGAAUUAUUGGGCGUAAAGCGCGCGCAGGCGG
rnacentral:rRNA from 1 species